rnacentral:ncRNA from 1 species
UGGUCCUAGCCUUGUAGUCAGUUUUUACUCAACCUACACAUGCAAGUCUCCGCACCCCUGUGAGAACGCCCUCUAACCCCUUCAGGGACGAGGAGCUGGUAUCAGGAUCAAUUUUUUAGCCCAUGACACCUAGCUUAGCCACACCCACAAGGGAAUUCAGCAGUGAUCAACAUUGACCAUAAGCGAAAGCUUGACUCAGUUAGAGUAAACAGAGCCGGCAAACCUGGUGCCAGCCGCCGCGGCUAAACCACGAGGGCCCAAACUGACCUCUUCCGGCGUAAAGCGUGAUUAAAGUUAAUAUAGACUGUAGUUAAAUUAGAGCUUAGCUGUGAUACGCUUUUCAUCUAAGAAGUACAAAAACGAAAGUUACUACAGCAAAACCCACUUGACCCCACGACAGCUAAGACACAAACUGGGAUUAGAUACCCCACUAUGCUUAGCCGUAAACCUUAACUUACAACUAAAUCGCCAGGGAACUACGAGCAACGCUUAAAACCCAAAGGACUUGACGGUACCCCACAUCCACCUAGAGGAGCCUGUCCUAUAAUCGAUAACCCCCGCUUAACCUCACCACCCUUUGUUCAUCAGUUUGUAUACCUCCGUCGUCAGCUUACCACGUGAGCGCCAAUUAGUAAGCGAGAGAGUCUUCGCUAAAACGUCAGGUCAAGGUGCAACUUAUAGGUUGGGAAGAGAUGGGCUACACUCUCUAAUUUAGAAGAAACGAAAGACUAUCCAUGAAAUUUUAGUCAGAAGGCGGAUUUAGAAGUAAACAGAGACAAGAAUGCUCCGUUUAACACGGCCCUGGGGUGUGUACACACCGCCCGUCACCCUCCUCGAAGCUAAUUAAUUAGUAACUAAACACCAUAUGUGCUAUAAAGAGGAGGCAAGUCGUAACAUGGUAAGCUUACCGGAAGGUGUGCUUGGAAA